AAAGCAUAGCAGAGCCAUUCGUGUUAGCAGACAGUGAUAUGGCAAAUGCAAAAUUGCACAAUUUCGAGUUAAAGCAUGGCUGGUCAAGCAUAACUGGAGUGGUUGGCAAAGACUUAACACGUAGGCUGUGAUAAUGAGCUGCGCGAUGUGGGUCAAACUUCAUGAAUGAUAUCCUAGAAGUUCUGAAGGGAACACGAGUCUGACUUUUGCAAGUCUUGAGUUUAACAAAAAGCUCCAGACAUCCGUCGAGUGCGUUCUUCGACAUUAGAAAUCCCAGAAAUCUGAUUUCUCGAUUCUAUCAAAGUUUGCAAACGAAGCUUCUCUUCGAAGAGCUUCAUCCUGCAUAGAGUCAAUCCUAAGAAAUGAUUUAACGUAAGUCGAACUAAAUUGAACUGUUGAAUGUAAAAAGACCUCGGAAUAUGUAAGCUCUUUUUGUGCAAAACGCGUAAAUAAAGUAAGAGCUUU